rnacentral:lncRNA from 1 species
GUGGAGCAUCAUAAAAAUAAUGUACAAAUACAUAAAAAUAGUCAUGUUAAUUGAAAUAUAAUAGUUUAUAAAAAAUCUCAACUACAAAUUAAAACCAAUCAAAAUACACGAUUUCAUUUGAUAACUAAAUGAGCACCAAAAAAAGAAAAAUGUGCUUACAAUAAACCACAUUACAUUACUCUAAAAAUAAAUAAAUAAAAAUGGUAUAUCAUCGGGUAGAGCCUUAUAUACUACAACUAGAAGUUGGAGCUUAAUCAUCCUUUAUAGAGU